UGAUUUCUUGUCAAAAACAUUUCCAAGCAUUUGAUUCUGAUAUUAUCAUCGCCACUUUGCCAAAAUGUGGCACUACUUGGCUUAAAGCCUUGACUUUCUCUACUUUGUACCGCAAUCAGUUCCCAAGGGAAAAGAAUCCCCUGCUCACCUAUAACCCUCACUCUCUUGUUCGCUUCAUUGAUUAUGACUUCUAUUUCAACGACACGUGUCCUGAUCUCGAAAAUUGUACUCUUUACCAGCCAAGACUUUUUUCUAUCCACUUGCCUUAUGCUUCUUUGACAACUUCCAUUAAAGAUUCCAACUGUAAGAUUGUUUACUUAUGUAGAAACCCCAUGGACACGCUCAUUUCUUUUUGGUCUUUCUUUUCGAGGCUUCGAGGCGAAGGCUUUGAGCCAGUAUCACUAGAUGAAGCUUUUGAGAUGUUCUGCCAAGGAAUCAUUCAAUUUGGACCAUUUUUCGAUCAUGUGUUAGGGUAUUGGAGGGCAAGCCAAGAAAAAUCGAGCAAAAUAUUGUUUUUACAAUAUGAAGAUCUCAAGGAAGACAUCAAUUCUCACCUAAAAAAGUUGGCAAUGUUUUUGGGGGUUCCUUUCACUGAGGAAGAAGAGAAACAAGGAGUUGUUGAAGAAAUAGCGAAAAUUUGCAGCUUUGAGAACAUGAAAGACUUGGAAGUGAAUAAGAAGGGCGUGCAAACUUUUGGGUAUCCACAAGAAACUUUCUCAGGGAAAACAAAGACUUUUGAGGUUCCAUGUGAAGCUUUCUUCAGAAAAGCAAAAAUGGGAGAUUGGAGCAAUUAUCUCACACCCUCCAUGGUUGAACGUCUAGAGAAACUUAUUCAAGAGAAAUUGGAAAACUCUGGUUUAACAUUUAAAUUGUUCUCUAAAACUUCAAAAGAUAUUACUUCUACAUGAUCAGGGAUGUAUGUCUAUUGGCUUUAAUUUAUGAUGAAUAAAUUCCAUAUAUGCAUGUAGAGAGUCUUUCCCUCGCAAAAUAAGGUUAUAUAAUAAUAUUGAGGUUAAGAUAUGCUUUUAGUCCCUAUAUUUAUCCAGAAUUUGAGAUUUAGUUACUAUAUUUUAAAACUUAAAAUUUUAAGCCUCUUAUUUUUUUCAAUUUAAAGAGUUUAAUCUGAUCAUUAUCAUUGUUUGUAAUUUCUGUCAAGACUUGUCAACUUAAUAUGUUUCUUUUUUUGUCAAUCAUGUGCAAUGUCAUAAGAAGACAAUCUAAUUAGCAUGCCGAAUUGGCAAAUUUUGAUGGAAAAUACUAAUAAUGUUAAUGAUUGGAUUGAAAUUUUUAAAUAAAAAAUUAAAGAAUUUCACUUUCAACUCUUUAAAUAUAAUGACUAAAUUUCAGAUCUUGUCUAAAUAUAGGGACCCAAUAUUAUUCCAAGGACAUGUAAUAUAGUUAUCUGAUAUUAAGGUUAUGGUUUAUGAAUAUCUAUAUAUCUAGAUAUAAUAAAACCAACUCGUUUGAGAGCCCACUAGGAAUAAAUAGUGCUAUUGUGAUAGGUUGUUAAGAGUAAAUAAGUUUAUUGUUGUGAUUUUAAAUUAUUUUUCACAUAAUUUUAGUAAUUGAUUAUCUGUUUAAAAUUGUUAAGUAAAAAAAAACUAAAGAGAUUUUCUCAAAAAUAAAACCAAUUAACUAAUCAUGCAAAGUAACCAAAAACAUAUCACCACUUCGCUUAUGCAAUGACUCAAAAACGGGACUAAAGAAUAUACAGAAGCUUAACUAGUGAAUCAACAGGCUUAUUCUUGAUACAAAAGACAUAGAAUUGAACUUAAAGAAGGGACCUAGGCUAAGGUUCAAAUAAAUAAAUUACAAAUUACAAAAUUAGUACAACUUGAAUCUCAAUCACAAGUAAGCAAACAAAACACACAACCACAAAAGCAUAUAUAUAUUUAUUUGUUUAGCUCUAUUAUUAUUAUUAUUAUUUUGUUUAGCUUUAUCAUCAAUCAGAUUUCCCUUUCCAUACCCUACCAACCACCACCUGCUUUUGUGUUUAGUGUUGCCAGAUUUACUCUAGUCUUCCUCUCCACAUUCUUUGAAUAUAUCUCAUUUACUUGUUUGCAAUAUUUUUUCUUUCCAUAAAAAAAAAACUCUCUAGACACUAUUAAUGAUUUAAUGAAAUAAUAAUCAAAAUAUUGAAUGCGGAUAGCAUUAGAGACAAAAAUAUUUUUUUUUUUAGACUUGAAUGAUAAACUAAAACACUUUAAUUAAUAAUUAAGCGAAUACUGGUCUAUAUCUAAAAGUUAAAAAAUAUAAAAACAAAUUUUAUUAAUCAAAUAAUAUCUUAAAAAAACAUAUGUUCACAAUCAUUGCACAAAUGAAUUUAAUAAUGCAACCUUUUGGCUAAAGAUGAAGAUAAUUUCAGCAUUAAAGUUUAAUAAUGCAACCUUUCGGCUAAAGACGAAGAUAAUUUUCAGUGGUGCAAGAUCUUCCGUAUCCCACAGCAUUAAAUUUUGAUUGCAUCUCCCAUUUGAUAAUAUAAAAUAAAGGAGAUUAUGACCCAAUUUUUAAACGUUUUUAUUUUAGGUAAUAAAAAAAAGUUUUUCAUUAUUUUGACUACUUCCGUUAAAUUUGUAAAUCAAAAUAAUAUGAAAUUAUUUUUAAAAUUUUGAUUUUUCACACAAUUUAAAAAAAAUAAAAAUUUAUCAUUUUAAUCUUCAAUCUUUUAAUAUAAGUGAGGUUUAACCCUCUUCUUAACAAAUUGGGAAUAACAACCACAUCAUCUAUGAAAAAUGGCCUCCACUUUCAUCUGCUUCAUUGAUUGGAGCAAUGCAUCAUCGUCGUCGCUAACUCUUUGUGGUAGAGGUGACAAAAGUUCGAAAAAAAAAAUAAAGGAUAGUAUUAAAACAUCAGACUCAAGAAGAAAAAGAAUAUUGAAAAUAGCCUUUUUUACGUGUAUAUUAUAAAAAAAAUUUAAUAUCAAAAUGGUAUACCAAAAUUGCAUGUUUGGGGUGGUGCCUUUCUUAUAGGCGGCACCACCAUUUUUUAAUAAAUUUUAUAUUUUAUAUUUUUAAAAAUAUAUUAUCUUAUUAGUGGUGCUAUUUACAUAGGUGACACCACUUUCAUACUCCUUAUAUAAGGUCAAAAUACAGGUAAGAAGUUGACCCGUGACCGGCCCGCCCAAGUUACACCUUCUAGACUGGCGGCGCCAGUCAUGCCUCCCUGACAGGCAAUAUUGGUGCCAGUCACUAGUCCCCUCCGUCGCGCCUAGACACUGCAUUUUGCAAUGAUUAGUCCUUUUAAAGAGAAAAAAAAGGAGAUAGGGAACCUUAUAAGCAUGGUCCCCCUUGUUGAAGAAGGGUCGGUAGUGAGAAAAAAAGAGGGCAAGAAAGGAGAGAAAGGAGAAGAUAGAAAGGAAAAGAAGAAGAAGAAAGAAAGAAAGAAAACAAAAAAAAGUAUGCAUUAUUUUAGUAAUUAAUUUUUUUAAUUUAAAGGGAUUAGUUAUUUUUUUGUAUUUAGUUUAGUGUUUGUGAUUUGUUAUGAAUGUAAUUUUUUAAAUUAUUUUAAAGUUAUUUUGUUAGUAAUUUAUGAUUAGGUUAUAAAUUGUUUGUGUUUAGUUUAGUGUUUAUUGUGACUUAUUAUAAAUGUAAUUUUUUUUGUGUUUUUUAAAUUAUUUUAAAUUUAUUUUGUUAGUAAUUUAUGAUUAGUUUAUAAAUUAUUUGUUUAGUUUAUUGUGAAAUGUGAUUUGUUAUAAUGUUUAUUAAAUUUAUUUUUAUAUAAUUUUAUAGGUUUUUUGAAAGAAACUAAACAGGUAUGUUUCUAUUUUAUUUUUUGUUGAUUCGUAUGUUUUUUAUGCUUAAAUAGUUUUUUGUUUAUUUUAAUUAUAUUAUUAUUGUAAACUAACAUAAUUUUUUUUAUGUAGGUAAAAUAUGGGAAACUAUGAGAUAUUUUUAUUGUGUUUUUUGUUACUCACGUAUUUACUAUGUUUUUACUGUGUUUUGUUGUUUCUCAAAUUACAAAUUAUUUACAAUGUUUUUUGCAACAAACUAAAUGAAUUCCUUUUUUUUAAUUGCAGAUUUAUAACAAAUGAGUUCUUUGAUUAAUAAUGAUGAUCACACAUUAAGUACUAUUAAUGAUAUGGUAAUAAAAUUGUUAUUUGUUACUCACGUCAUUUACAAAAUUAAAUUAGAUUAUAUUAACUAUUUUGUUAAUUUAAUAAUGUCAGGACUCGUACCGCGCAUUGAGGGGUCAUGUUAAUAUUAUAGGUUUUCUGUCAGAUGAACGCCUAAUGCCAUACUUGUAGUUAGCCGGAUUCAGAUCAACGACAUUGAUCUGAACCUUUGAUAUGCGAUACGACUUGAUAUUCGCUUUGUUCGAGCGAUGGCGUUCGGAGACCCACACAUUUCAUUUUCCAUGUGAGGAGUGCACCAUCACUCUACAGGAUGUUUCACUGCAGCUCGGGCUCCUCAUCGACGGGAAAGCGGUCACAGGCGUAAGUUCGAUCUCGAGGCCGAUUGCCCUUUGCUAUAACUUACUUGGAUGCUUGCCUAGUGAGGGAAAAUUUACGGGUUUGAGGUUUUCAUGGCUAAAGGUCAAUUUUGAGCAUUUACCGAGUACUACCAAUGAAUGGGAGGUGAUGCACGCCAUUCAAGCUUACAUUAUGCACAUUAUAGGGGGUGUACUCAUGCCGGAUGCAAACAACAAUAAGGUUCACUUGAUGUACUUGCCCCUAUUAUCUUAUUUCCAUAACAUUCGUUUGUAUAGUUGGGGGUUCGCAGUGUUAGCAAUUUUGUAUCGCGAACUUUGUCGGACGACAAAUCCUUUUGCGGUGGACAUAGGCGGAUGCCUCAUAUUGUUGCAGUCUUGGGCGCUUUACUAGAUGUCAUUCUUGGUAUCGAUUAUCCACCAAUCAUAUGUAUUUCCACUCGUGAACAUGUGAUGAAUUUUUACUCAUUAUAACAAUUAGUUGAUUUUUUUUCAGCUGAUAUUAUUCUAACAAUUUGUUUUCGUAGAUGGAGCACUAAUCCGGGUAUCGGGAGGUCAUACACGAUUCUGAUAUACCUUCUGAUGAUUGAGAAUCAUGUUGGAGAGGGAGUAAGUUUUUCCAAUAUUUAUGACAUUUUAUUAUUUUAUCUCACUCGACCUGCCUUAAUAUAACCAUGUUGUUAACUAUGCAAUUCAUUUGGAUGUCGUAUUCUGUCCCAUAAAUUAUUGCGGUUAUUCCCUCGUUUGCCCAUGUCCACUCAAACUUAUGGCGCAUUAACGUAUCCAUUAUCAAUUUUCAGACAGUGGACUAGUAUCAUGGUGAUCCAGUACUCCGACAGUUUGAUUGCAUACAGUAUAUCCUGACACUACCAGUACAGUUGGGGGACAUCCACAGGUUUAACAAGAGGGGGAAAUAUGAAAAUAAUUUGGCGGAAGUGCAUGAAGAAUAUAUUACAAUGUGGAACAAUCAGUUGGGACAUGUACCUCAAAUGGAUCGUGCUUUGGAUCUACAGCUCUCGUUAGAGUACAUACAGUGGUACUCUGAGAUAGGGAAAUCAUUUUUGUUUGGUGGGUAGUCGAUGGUGGUCCACCCGCACAUGACAUGACUUGGGCAAGCCUCCCAUACCCUUUCACAUCCUCCUCCUGCACCUGAGCUAGAGCUAGAGGCAGAGGCAGAGCUAGAGCUACACACUGGGGAUAGUUUUUAUCAUUCAGACUUGGGGAAAAUGACUAUUUUCUGGGCUCAUCAAACCACGAAUAUCAUUCAGAGUUUGAUAUCUUUAGCCCACUACUACCGUAAUACUCUACUCCUCCCGACUCAUAUCCACCUCAGUACUCUAAUUCUCUUAGCCCGUAUCCACCACAGCACUCCACUCCUCCCUACUCAAGUUUAUUGAUGGAGUUUUAGGCAUAUGAUUUUUCAUCUAUGCUUCACACACCCCCACGUGCGAGAGAAGAGAAUCUUGAUCGCCUCAAUCACCCACAAUGUGAAUGUCGACCAUCAAACCAUCAAUUUUAGGGGUUUUGCAAUUUAAAUAGUCAAGUUUGUAUUUAUUUAAUGACUUUUUUGCCUAAAUAAUACAAAUUUACAUAAACUAUUCUCAUCAAAUUCACAUCAACAUAAAAUGCGAAUUAGUUUAUAUUUUUUUAAAUAGCUUUACUUUGGGUAAAAUAUAUUUACUUUAAAAUUAAAAUAAAAGGGAUUUUAUGAGUAAAAAUCAUAAGUUAAGGGCUUAUUUAACUAUAAAAAUAGGUUAAGGGCUUGUUUAAACACAAUAUAAUGAGUUGAAGGGGAAUAAAAAGAAAAUAAUAAAUAAUGAGGGCUUACAAGGCAAUUAGCUACAUUUAAGGUUUGUUUAAACUCAAAAUGGAAAAUUUCAGUUAUUAAUCUUAUCGACAAGCCAUUUCAGUUAUUAAUUUAUUUUUUGUAUUAUUUGCGUAAAAAAGCCUUAUGUAAUUCUACAAAAAUAUAAAUGCAACAAAAUUUAGACUAACUUUGUAAUUCAAAUUAGAUUAAUUGCAAUAAAUUUUAGACAAAUUUUAGAUUCAAUCCUCUUUAUAUGUAGUGAAUGUAAUUAAUGCGGGCAUUUACUCCAAUUAAUAAGGGUUGUUUAGCAUCUCAAUUCUUACCCGAUCGUGACGAUUGUCCAAUAUGGUAGUUUCGGUGCGGGCAUUUACUCCAAUUAUGAUCGACUAAUUUGCAUACGCCACACAGCUUCUCGUCAGAUUUCUUUCUAAUGUCCAUUUCAUUAUGAAUUCUAGAUGAUUGCAAAUGACCUUUUGGAUUCCUACGCAACCCUUUGUCUGGGACAAGCUUGAAAGUCGUCGAAGGCACCUCCCAUGUAGAUAGGUCAGGCAAGACGGGGAACUCGUUCUCAUAGACACAGAACGUGUGCUCAAGGGUGUACACCUCAUCAAUAAAUUGUUCAACAUUGAGCGAGACUUUAGCACAAACUACAACGACAUGUGCACAAGGAUAAUGAAGUGUUUGGAACCUUCUGCAAUCGCACCAUCUGUUUCGAAGAUUAAUUCCAUAGGACCUAGGUGGUAUACCGGGUCGACGAUCAAUGGUUUCUAUAACUCAAAAUGUUUCAUUAUGUCGUAAAUAUACUUCUACAUUCAUCAACCUCACCAUUUGACGGUUUGUAACCAUUGCAUCCCUAACAUCUUCGACAAACACAUUUCCUGCUUCCAUCUAGUUGACUUGUUGCUACCCCAUUCUUGAUAUCAAGGUAUUUAACUUGUAGAACGUAGCCGAGAAAAUAGAUGAAUUUGAAAGAUGUCGUGUUUUCAUUAACACGGAGUUAACCCCUUUCGCCAAGUUAGUGGUCAUAUGACCAUAGCGAAAGCCCUCGUUGAAACUUUGAGCCCAUUGCCACAACUCCAUGGUACCCAACCAUUGUAGUAAAUGCGUGUUCGUUUGACCUUCCAUGUCACUCUCAAGUCGAGUCAUCCUUUGCCAAAAAAUAUGUGGCUCUAGCUCGUACGAUGUGUAUGUAUUAAGAGAAUAUAAGUUACAGUCUCACCCUAAAACAUUAAAACAUAUAUUGAAAAGAUAAGGUUAUCCUUUACCUAUUCUCACAACUUGUCUCCGCCAGUCUACAUUCUUAAAAUCUUGGUGGAAGUUAGCCGCAAUGUCUCGGAUGCAGUAAACGGAUCUUCAUGGCACACCGGAAUGCCUAAUAGUAGCAAUUAAUCCUUUCCCUUAUUGGAGAUGAUGCAAAUAUUAUCGUUACUAAUAACAUACCUCCGUAGGUUCGUAAAGAAGAAUUCCCACGAAUCCAUGUUCUCCUUAUCUAUGAUGGCAAAUGUUAUCAGGAGCACGUUCUUGUUCUUGUCUUGAGCAACCGUAAGAAGUAGGAUCUGUGUAUAUUUUCCAUGUAACAAGGUCUCAUCUACUUGCACAAACGGCUUGUAAUGGGGAAAUGCACACACAUAUGGAACAAACAUCCAAAACAUUUAUUGAAAAAUUCUUUUUCCUAGUUGUAGUUGAUCAUCUGGGCCAUAAUAAAAUCAUGUCUGCAACUCAAUGAUAGUCCCCAGCACAUACUCCUGCAUAGCAGCUAUCCAUCCAUGUAGCUCAUUGUAUGACACAUCGAAAUCUCCGUGAUUGCUCCAUUGCCAUUCGUUUAGCUAUUCAUGUCUUCCGAUAUGAUACUUGAUAUUAGAAUCGUACUUAUAUUUCGGCAAUCAGUACUAAAACUUUAAUGGUCGACAUGUCCUUCACCAUUGUCAUGAUGUACGUACAAAUAGUUUUAGAAUCAAGUUUUCGAUAAUCUUCUGCCAUACGUGUUGAGGUGCAUUUGUGAGGCCCAACAAAUUUUCAUAUCUCCCACAUCUACGACUUCUGGAUAAAUAUGGCUCAUACUCGUCAAUUACAACCUUCUACCGACCUCCAACACUCUCCAAUAUCUAAUGUUGGUUUAAACACGGUGACUUUGUAGUCCACUAAUAUAUUCAUGCUAUACUGCUUAAUGGAAAAUGCGCACUCUUCCUUACUUUCAAAUCUUUAGCCUACGAACAACUCCUCAAGAUCGGAAUCUACGACCAGCUGGUGAGCAUGUAGUAUUUCAAGGUACCCUGGGAACUCAGCUGUGUGUGCCACAUCGGGGUCAAUGAGUGACAUGUGUGCCCCAGGAUUAUUGCGUAUCACAAUAUGUCGAAUAUGGUCAUUCACGCCUUCGUCGUUAAUAUCAUUCGGGACCUCGUCUACAUCGGGAUCACUAUCACUAUCGACCUCGUGAUUAGAAGGAUCACUACUAUCAUAUCCAUUAUUACCAACCACAUCAGUCUCGAUUGCAGCAUUAAGAUCGAUAUUGAUCCUGCAUACAAUCGAUUAACUAUCAACAUACAUGGCUCUUAAGCUCCAUUUUCUUCACCUAAUGGAGUGGGAUAUUCAGUUGGCUCCACACUAGCUAACUCAGCAAAUAACUGAAUCGAUGCAUUUUGGUUGCUCCGAUUCCCACAAUAAAGAGUGUCCAUUGUCUCCUUUUCUUCGUUGUCUACAAGUUCCAUUUUGGUGAAUUUUAUGGGACCUAUUGAAUUGGAAACUUGUAGAAAAGUUUCGAGAUCUUUCUCCCACAACAUUUAACGCAUUUUGCACUAAUCCUUUCAUUCAUAUUAUCAAAUGAGACAUUUCUAUUAAAUCCCAUUACUAUUUGUUAGUGACAUUCAAAUGUAUAUCCCAUGGUUAUUGUCAAAAUUACUCCAUUGAAAUAAACACAUACGAAAAAAUGAUUAUCCAUCUUCAAUACUAAAUCUAUUAAAAACAAAUAAAACUUCUCAAAACAAUUUUGAACAACAAAAAAAAUACUUAUAUAAAAAAUUUAAUGAAUAAAAAGAGACCAAAAUUAUAACAAUAUGCAAAAAUUUUCAUUCAUGAGCUCAGACUUUUUCAAUUCUCAUUUCAUAGAUAUACAAAUUCUCUACUCUCUAAAAUUUAUCCUUACAUUUAACUACUUAAACUCAUUUCUUCGUUUUCUUCCAUCUCCGUUUUGGUAUAUUCCUCUAGGAAAUUCUCAAUAUUAAAUUUUGAAUUCUCUUCAAAUUCAUCUUCUACAAUCCAAUGUGGAAAUUCUUCAGGAUCUUCUUCCUCUUCAAUCUUUAUAACGGGUAUUGAAUUUAUAAGUUUUCUUGAUAAUUUCCUAACAACUAAUUUAUCAAUCCAUGGCAUGUCAAAGACAUUUUGCUUCCCAAUCAAUUUUCGCAAACCUACACUUUUUCUUGCUAAUUUCCUUGUUCCAUAAGAGAUUAUAAACUUCACGAAGUAUAUAACUAUAUUCCAAUAGGUUCGUGGUACCAAUGUCUUCCAAAUUUGGUCUAAAAUGAUUUGAUGCUUCUGUUCUAUUAAUGUCUCUCUAAGGGUCAAGUAUUGCACUUUAUUCUUUCUAAUCGAUUCAUGACCCUUCCAUAACACUUCUUGCAUAUUUUGAUUUAUGGUAAUAAGGUGUUGAAUGAUGUCUUCUUCUGGUUUCAUUGUAAAAUCUUGCAAUUCUCUCAUCAUCUUAUAAACUUUCUCCCUUUGUGCUGAAGUUGUUAUCUCAUCAAGCAAUAUCAGAUUUAUUGUCAUUUCUACUAAUAUCUAUGACAAAAAAUAUUUUUUUUCUUGAUUUUCAAUUUUUAUCUAUUUUCCUCUAGUGUCAUCACUAACUAAUAAUUAAUUUAUAAUAGUUACUAACAAAAUAACUUUCAAAUAAAUUAAAAAAUAUUAAAGAUUACAUUCUUAACCUAACAAAUCACAAUAAACCCUAAACAAACAAUUAACCUAAUCACAAAACUUACUAACAAAAUUAAUAAAAAUUUACAUUCAUAACCUAAAAAAUCACAAUAAACAUUAAACUAAACAAAUAUUUUAUAAUAGUAACUAACAAAAUAACAUUAAAAUAAAUUAAAAACAACAUAAAAAUAACAAUAAACAAACUACACAAUACUAACAAAAUAAUUUAUCCUCAUCAUAAUUCAUCCUAUUUAAAAAAGAAAAACAUUAUCCUUCUUUUUCCUUCUCCUUUCUUUCUUUCUUUCUUUUUCUUUCUUCUCCCUCUCUUCUUUCUUCUCUUCUACUAUUUUUUAACCCUCAUUCUCUUCUUCACUGGGACCAUUAAAUAGUGUCCUAAAAUCGGACCACUGGUGCCGCCUAACAGAUAAGGGUCACUAGUGCCGCCUAUCAGAUAGACACCAUCCCCUUAUACCAGUUUUGUAUUUGUACACGGCCUUAUACUAGACCUGAGAAUGCCUAGGAGAAAGGCACCACUAAACAAAUAAUAUUAUUUUUAAAAAAAUAAAAAAAAAUAAAUUUUAUUAAAAAUAUUGGUGGUGCCACCUAUGAGAAAGGCACCACCCCUAAACAUACCAUUUUGAUAUUUAAUCAUACUAACAUACCAUUUUGGUAUUAAUUUUUUUUAUAAUAUUAACGUAAAAAAGAUUUGAAAAUAUUAAACACAAUACCGAAGUUUAGUUCCACUAUUGGCCUUUUCCCUUGAAAAUAAAGGAGAUGAGGACCCAAUUUUUAAACGUUUUUACUUUAGGUAAUAAAAAAAGUUUUUCAUUAUUUUAACUACUUCUGUUAAAAUUGUAAAUCAAAAUAUAUAUGAAAUUACUUUUAAAAUUUUGAUUUUUUGUACAAUGUUUUAAAAAAAUUACCAUUUUAAUCUUCAAUCUUUUAAUAUAUGUGAGGUUGAAUCCUAUUCUUAACAAAUUGGGAAUAACAACCACAUCAUCUAUGAAAAAUGGCCUCCUCUUUCAUCUGAUUUGUUGAUUAGAGUAAUACGUCACCUUUAACGCUGACUCUUUGUAGUAGAGGUGACAAAAAAUCGAAAAAAAAAACUUAAAAAAUAGUAUGGAAACAUCAAAUAAAAAAAGAAAAGAAAUAUUGAAAAUAUUAAAGAUAAUGUCGAAGUUUCCAAAUCUACUAUUGGCCUCUUCACUUCAAGAUGAUUUACAAAUAAUUUUCUUUUAAAGUCUAUGCCUUUUUCUCUUUUUUAUAAUAGCUGUAAUAGUAAAGCUAGAAUUUUUAUACAAAUUUUUGGAUUUUUUAUAUCUGUGAGGAUUUAAGUUUUAGGUAUGGGUUAUUUUUUUUGGAAACUGUUGUUAAGUGCUUUGAAUGGUUGCCAAUUCCCCUAUGCCUCUAAUAUUUGCAUAAGAACAAUGAAAACCCUAACUAUUAUAUGCCACAAUUAUUACUAGUUAAGGAAGCAGAGCAUGUUAUUUAUGCCCUAAAGACAUUGGAAUUUAUUGUGAAUUUUUCACAGAGGAUAUGGUUGUUGUUCUCAAAUUGUUAAGGUGAGAGGUAAACCUCGUUUAUAUAAAAAGAAUGAGACUAAAAUGAUGAUUUUUAUUUCAUUUAAAUAUGUGAAAAAUCAAAAUUUUAGAAAUAAUUUCACGUUAGAUAUCUAUUUAUCAUUUUCACAGGAGUGUGUAAACUGAUCUAACAGGUGUACCUAUUUUUUCGGAUGCUUAUCUUUAAAACUUUUGAAAAUGAGGCGUUUACCCUAAAAUAAAUUAUUAAAGCAUAAAAUAUUUGAUAUGGUCUCUUUUUGGUCCGCUCCACAAAACUUGUUAUAUAAACAGAAAACUAGUUUUGAAUGUUGUUUUCCUUAUCCCUUUCUCGACCAACUACUUGUUUCACCAUGGAUAAAAUAGAUAUGUGCAACCCCAGCAUGGUUUCCACCUCUCAUGAUGUUGAGGACUCUUGGGAUGAUGAAUUCCAACAACUGGUGCAAACCUUCCCUAAAGAUAAAAGCUUCACAGGAAUGAAUCUUUACUUCUUCCAAGGGUUCUGGUGCCCAUCAAUUGUUUUAAAAGCUGUGAUUUCUUGUCAAAAACAUUUUCAAGCAUUUGAUUCUGAUAUUAUCAUCGCCACUUUGCCAAAAUGUGGCACUACUUGGCUUAAAGCCUUGACUUUCUCCACUUUGUACCGCAAUCAGUUCCCAAGGGAAAAGAAUCCCUUGCUCACCUAUAACCCUCACUCUCUUGUUCGCUUCAUUGAUUAUGACUUCUAUUUCAACGACACGUGUCCUGAUCUCGAAAAUUGUACUCUUUAUCAGCCAAGACUUUUUUCUAUCCACUUGCCUUAUGCUUCUUUGCCAACUUCCAUUAAAAAUUCCAACUGUAAGAUUGUUUACUUAUGUAGAAACCCCAUGGACACGCUCAUUUCUUUUUGGUCUUUCUUUUCCAGGCUUCGAGGCGAAGGCUUUGAGCCAGUAUCACUAGAUGGAGCUUUUAAGAUGUUCUGCCAGGGAAUCAAUGAAUUUGGACCAUUUUUCGAUCAUGUGUCAGGGUAUUGGAGGGCAAGCCAAGAAAAAUCGAGCAAAAUAUUGUUUUUACAAUAUGAAGAUCUUCAGGAAGACAUCACUUCUCACCUAAAAAAGUUGGCAAUGUUUUUGGGGGUUCCUUUCACUGAGGAAGAAGAGAAACAAGGAGUUGUUGAAGAAAUAGCGAAAAUUUGCAGCUUUGAGAACAUGAAAGACUUGGAAGUGAAUAAGAAGGGCGUGCAAACUUUUGGGUAUCCACAAGAAACUUUCUCAGGGAAAACAAAGACUUUUGAGGUUCCAUGUGAAGCUUUCUUCAGAAAAGCAAAAAUGGGAGAUUGGAGCAAUUAUCUCACACCCUCCAUGGUUGAACGUCUAGAGAAACUUAUUCAAGAGAAAUUGGAAAACUCUGGUUUAACAUUUAAAUUGUUCUCUAAAACUUCAAAAGAUAUUACUUCUACAUGAUCAGGGAUGUAUGUCUAUUGGCUUUAAUUUAUGAUGAAUAAAUUCCAUAUAUGCAUGUAGAGAGUCUUUCCCUCGCAAAAUAAGGUUAUAUAAUAAUAUUGAGGUUAAGAUAUGCUUUUAGUCCCUAUAUUUAUCCAGAAUUUGAGAUUUAGUUACUAUAUUUUAAAACUUAAAAUUUUAAGCCUCUUAUUUUUUUCAAUUUAAAGAGUUUAAUCUGAUCAUUAUCAUUGUUUGUAAUUUCUGUCAAGACUUGUCAACUUAAUAUGUUUCUUUUUUUGUCAAUCAUGUGCAAUGUCAUAAGAAGGCAAUCUAAUUAGCAUGCCGAAUUGGCAAAUUUUGAUGGAAAAUACUAAUAAUGUUAAUGAUUGGAUUGAAAUUUUUAAAUAAAAAAUUAAAGAAUUUCACUUUCAACUCUUUAAAUAUAAUGACUAAAUUUCAGAUCUUGUCUAAAUAUAGGGACCCAAUAUUAUUCCAAGGACAUGUAAUAUAGUUAUCUGAUAUUAAGGUUAUGGUUUAUGAAUAUCUAUAUAUCUAGAUAUAAUAAAACCAACUCGUUUGAGAGCCCACUAGGAAUAAAUAGUGCUAUUGUGAUAGGUUGUUAAGAGUAAAUAAGUUUAUUGUUGUGAUUUUAAAUUAUUUUUCACAUAAUUUUAGUAAUUGAUUAUCUGUUUAAAAUUGUUAAGUAAAAAAAAACUAAAGAGAUUUUCUCAAAAAUAAAACCAAUUAACUAAUCAUGCAAAGUAACCAAAAACAUAUCACCACUUCGCUUAUGCAAUGACUCAAAAACGGGACUAAAGAAUAUACAGAAGCUUAACUAGUGAAUCAACAGGCUUAUUCUUGAUACAAAAGACAUAGAAUUGAACUUAAAGAAGGGACCUAGGCUAAGGUUCAAAUAAAUAAAUUACAAAUUACAAAAUUAGUACAACUUGAAUCUCAAUCACAAGUAAGCAAACAAAACACACAACCACAAAAGCAUAUAUAUAUUUAUUUGUUUAGCUCUAUUAUUAUUAUUAUUAUUUUGUUUAGCUUUAUCAUCAAUCAGAUUUCCCUUUCCAUACCCUACCAACCACCACCUGCUUUUGUGUUUAGUGUUGCCAGAUUUACUCUAGUCUUCCUCUCCACAUUCUUUGAAUAUAUCUCAUUUACUUGUUUGCAAUAUUUUUUCUUUCCAUAAAAAAAAAACUCUCUAGACACUAUUAAUGAUUUAAUGAAAUAAUAAUCAAAAUAUUGAAUGCGGAUAGCAUUAGAGACAAAAAUAUUUUUUUUUUAGACUUGAAUGAUAAACUAAAACACUUUAAUUAAUAAUUAAGCGAAUACUUGUCUAUAUCUAAAAGUUAAAAAAUAUAAAAACAAAUUUUAUUAAUCAAAUAAUAUCUUAAAAAAACAUAUGUUCACAAUCAUUGCACAAAUGAAUUUAAUAAUGCAACCUUUUGGCUAAAGAUGAAGAUAAUUUCAGCAUUAAAGUUUAAUAAUGCAACCUUUCGGCUAAAGACGAAGAUAAUUUUCAGUGGUGCAAGAUCUUCCGUAUCCCACAGCAUUAAAUUUUGAUUGCAUCUCCCAUUUGAUAAUAUAAUAAGUUUAAUAAUGCAACCUUAGGGAAAAUAAAGACUUAUGAGAUUCCACGUGAAGCUUUCUUUAGAAAAGCAAAAUUGGGAGAUUGGAGCAAUUAUCUCACACCCUCCAUGGUUGUACGUCUAGAGAAACUUAUUCAAGAGAAAUUGGAAAACUCAGGUUUAACAUUUAAAUUGUUCUCCAAAACUUCAAAAGAUAUUACUUCUACAAAAUGAGGGAUGUAUGUCUAUUGGCUUUAAUUUAUGAUGAAUAAAUUCCAUAUUUGCAUGUAGAGAGUCUUUCCCUCGCAAAAUACGGUUAUAUAAAAAAAUUGUGGUUAAAAUAUGCUUUUAGUCCCUAUAUUAUCUAGAAUUUGAGAUUUAGUUACUGUAUUUUAAAAGUGAAAAUUUUAAGCCUCUUGCUUUGUUAAUUUAAAAAUUUGUCUAAUCAUUAUCCUUUUUUGUAAUUUCUAUCAAAACUUGUCAACUUAACAUGUUUAUUUUUUUGUCAAUCAUGUGCAAUGUCAUAAGAGGGUAGUCUAAUUAGCAUGCCAAGUUUGCAAAUUUUGAUGAAAAAUACUAAUAAUAUUAAUGAUUGGAUUAAAAUUUUUAAAUUAAAAAAUUAAAAGAAUUUAGUUUUCAACUAUUUAAAUAUAAUGACUAAAUUUCAGAUCUUAUCUAAAUACAGGGACCUAAUAUUAUUCCAAGGACAUGUAAUAGUAAGGCUAUGAUUUAUGAAUAUCUAUAUAUCUAGAUGUAAUAAAACCCAACUCGCUUGAGAGCCGAGUAGGAAUAAAUAGGGGUAUUGUGAUAAGUCGUUGAGUGUAAAUAAGUAUAUUGUAGUGAUUUUAAAUUAUUUUUCACAUAAUUUUAGUUAAUUGAUUAUCUGUUUAAAAAUGUUAAAAACUUCAUCAAUUAAGUAAUAUUUUUAUAAUUGAAAAAUAUUCAUUCUAUAAAUUCCCCCUUCGCCAAUUGGUACUCUCUCUUCUCUUUUAGGUAGAAUUUCUCUUUUUCCGUUACCUUGGCUGAACUAUCAAAAAAAUUUGCUUAUUUAUUUUCAUCAAUUUAUGGGUAAUAAAACCGCCUCCUUUCAGAAUCAUUAGGAAUAAAUAGGAUUAUUGUAAUCAUUUAUUUGGAGUAAUAAACGUAUUGUAGUCAUAUUAAAUUAAUUUUAUUUAUUUAAAAAAAUUCAAAAAUCAAUUUCAACUCAAAACAUUUUAUUUAUUCUCAUUAAACAUCAAAUAAAAUUUCAAUUUUUUAUUAUUUUAACAUAAUCAAUAUUAACUAACCAAAUUUCGUAAUGGUUUUGAUAUUCUAUCUCAACAUUAAACUUUUUUCAUUGUUACUAAUUUUCAUGUGUAUAAAUAACACAUUUACUUCUUAUACAUAUUUCUAUUAUUGUUUUUAUUUGAGAUAUUUAUAAAUGUUUCAAAAAAAAUCAUAUUUAUCAGUUUUUUAUUUGCAUAAAAAUUACUAAAUAUAUUUGUAUAAUAUUUGUCAAAAAAAUUGAUUAAAUGUGCAUAAUCAAUAGUUUUAGAAAAAGUUGAAGUAAUUAUAGUUUUUAUAAAUUUAUUAUUACAUGUUUCAUUUGAUUAAAUUUAUUUUGAAUUUUACUAUAUAAUUAUAAUUAACUUAACAAUUUAAAAAAUACUAAAUAAUAAGUUAAUAUAAUAUAUGUUGAUAAUAAAUAUUAGAAUAAUAACCUACAAAUAUCACACCUAAUUAGGAUUUAUAUCUUCUAAAUUUGGAUUCUCAUUCCUUUUAGCGUAAGAGAAAUUAAAAUUUUACAAGUUAGAAGGUAAAUAUAAUUUAAAGCAUUUUUAAUUAUAAUCUCAAUUAAAAAUAUUUUGAAUUUAAAUUAUGAUAAGAUAUUUGGUUUGAAGUAUCUCAAGAGACAAAAAGACAAUCUUAUAGUUUGUAAGAUGCAAAUAGUUUGAUUAUCAUCAUAAUUAUUGAUUCUAAAUAUGUGCAUUGUAUAGGGAUAGAUUAAUUAUAAUCGUGAAAUGUAUUUGUACUUUAGAAACAACAUAACUUCAUAAGAAUAUCAUGAUAUAUACUAAAUUUCUUAGAAUGCUCAAAUGAUUAUUUUAUUUUAAACAUAAUUAAAUCAAUUGAUUUUUAUUUUAAUUCAUGAUAUGCGCAACGUGCGGAAUAGUCCUACACCAAAUUUGGUUCAGUGUAAUGGAAUAGAGUUGUAAUAGAAAAAAACUGUAAUACCAAUUUAAUUGUUUGGUUGAAUGGAAUGGAAUAAACCUGUAAUAGUAUUCUUGUGUUUGGUUGAAUGGAAUGCAUUUUUUAUAUCUGUGAGUAUUUAAGUUUUAGGCAUGGGUUAUUUUUUCUGGAAACUGUUGUUAAGUGCUUUGAGUGGUUGCCAAUUCCCCCAUGCCUCUAACAUAAGAACAAUGAAAACCCUAACUAUUAUAUGCCACAAUUAUUACUAGUUAAGGAAGCAGAGCAUGUUAAUUAUGCCCUAAAGACAAUAUUGGAAUUUACUGUGAAUUUUUCACAGAGGAUAUGGUUGUUGUUCUCAAUUUGUUGAGGUGAGAGGUAAACCUCAUUUAUAUAAAAAUAUUUGGACUAAAUUGAACAUUUUUAUUUUAUUUAAAUACGUGAAAAAUCAAAAUUUUAGAAAUAAUUUCACAUUAGAUCACUGUUUCCCAUUUAAAUAGGAGUGACUAAUCCAACACGUGUACAUACUUUUUCGAAUAUCUAUAAUAAAAUUUCUUGAAAAUUUGGUGUUUACCCUAAAAUAAAUUAUUAAAACAUAAAAUAUUUGAUAUGGUCUCUUUUUGGUCUGCUCCACAAAACUUGCUAUAUAAACAGAAAACUGGUUUUGAAUGUUGUUUUUCUUAUCCCUUUCUCGACCAGCUGCUUGUUUCACCUUGGAGAAAACAAAUAUGUGCAACUCCAGCUUGGUUUCCACAUCCCAUGAUGUUGAGGAGUCUUGGGAUGAUGAAUUCCAACAACUGGUGCAAACCUUCCCUAAAGAUAAAAGCUUCACAAGAAUGAAUCUUUACUUCUUCCAAGGUUUCUGGUGCCCAUCAAUUGUUUUAAAAGCUGUGAUUUCUUGUCAGAAACAUUUCCAAGCAUUUGAUUCUGAUAUUAUCAUCGCCACUUUGCCAAAAUGUGGCACUACUUCACUUAAAGCUUUGACUUUCUCCACUUUGUACCGCAAUCAGUUCACAAGGGAAAAGAAUCCCUUGCUCACCUAUAACCCUCACUCUCUUGUUCGCUUCAUUGAUUAUGACUUCUAUUUCAACGACACUUGUCCUGAUCUCGGAAAUUGUACACUUUAUCAGCCAAGACUUUUUUCUAUCCACUUGCCUUAUGCUUAUUUGCCAACUUCCAUUAAAGA
rnacentral:lncRNA from 1 species